GUGCAGCCGCUGAUCGAUAAGAUUGCUGGUAAGCUGUCCUUAAGGAAAGGCUGGCUUCUGAACAGGAAGGGCAGAUUGGUUUACACAAAUUCGGUGAUCACGGCUACGGCAACAUACUUCUUGACUGCUUUUCCCCCGGACAAAUGGUUUAUCAAGAAGGUGGAUAAGCUGAGGAGGAAUUUUCUUUGGGAGGCGGACGAUACAAACAUUGGGGGGCGAAGCCUUGUAAAUUGGGCACAAGUCUGCUCCCCAAUAAAGAAUGGAGGGCUGGGGGUGAAGAACAUUGAAUGUUUUAGUCGGGCCCUCCGGCUGCGAUGGGAAUGGUUUCGCUGGGCUGAGGAAGACAGGCCAUGGAAGGGAUCGCCGACGCCAUGCGAUGAGAAGGACAAGCAGCUGUUUGCGAGCUGCACUUGGAUCAUGCUGGGGGAUGGGCGAACGGCUGCUUUCUGGACGGACUGA
rnacentral:rRNA from 1 species